GGCGGUGUCCUCGGAGGAUACUGGUUUGGCGGAGCGAGGCCGCAUGGUGAAAGUUGUCCGGGACACCAGGAGGAGGUCGCCAAUAUCCUACUUUGUUUAGCGAUCGCGAGAUAACCAGUCGUAUUCCUCAAACUACGGUUACCAACCCCAAUACAACUGUUCCUGCCAUCAGUGAUCAUGGUUAUUGUAGAAAAAGGUGUCACGUCGAUAACACAUAUUGAAAACUAGAGGUCAUGCAGAACCACACAAAAUAUCAUGGUGACAUUGAUGUAAUAUCAUCAUUGCAACCAGAAAACAUACCAUCUACAUCAGAUUAUAGAAAUGAUGCUAGAGAAAUGCCUAUAGAUGACGCUGUGCAUCACACUCCAUCAAGGAAGAGAAGACCACAUGUCAUUUUAAAGAAAAUCACCUCAUUGUGCAAGUCUUUAUCGUGAAUUUACCAAAUCACGAAAGCAGCUUAACUUUGAUUUAAGAGCUAAAAGUGCAUUUUCACAAGAGAAAUCAUUUAUAAAGCUUACAGAGAAAAUGAACCCUAUGGCAAAGAAAUUUUUGUGGAUGCAGAUUAAACAGGCUUACAAUAAGUUUAAAACGAAAGAGAAAUAAAAUAAGAUGACAUGA